UUUCCGUAGGUGAACCUGCGGAAGGAUCAUUACAGAGUUCAUGCCCUCACGGGUAGAUCUCCCACCCUUGAAUAUUUAUACCUUAGUUGCUUUGGCAGGCCGUGGAAACACCAUGGGCUCCGGAUUAUGCGUGCCUGCCAGAAGAAACAAACUCUGUUUUUAGUGAUGUCUGAGUACUAUAUAAUAGUUAAAACUUUCAACAACGGAUCUCUUGGUCCUG
rnacentral:misc_RNA from 1 species